AUAAUAAUUUGCCUUAUAAUUUGAGGCUGGAAUGAAUGGUUUGACGAAGGUUAAUCUGUCUCUAUUUUAUUUUUUAGAAUUUAAUUUUUAUAGUGAAAAAGCUUGAAUUUUUUAAAGGGACGAGAAGACCCUAUUGAGCUUAUAAUUUUAUUAUUACUAUUAUUAAUUGUGAUUAGUAAUAUAUAAAUUUUAGUUGGGGUGAUUAAGGAAUAAAUGUUAAUAGUAACUUCCUUAAAGUAAAUAUUGUUAGGUUAAGUAACCAAUAUGUUAUUGCUUAUACUAUAGUUACCAUAGGGAUAACAGCGUAAUUUGUUUAGAGAGUUCUUAUUGAAAAAUGAGA
rnacentral:rRNA from 1 species